AGGCCUAACACAUGCAAGUCGAGCGGAAGAGAGAAGCUUGCUUCUCUAGAGAGCGGCGGACGGGUGAGUAAUGCCUAGGAAUCUGCCUGGUAGUGGGGGAUAACGUUCGGAAACGGACGCUAAUACCGCAUACGUCCUACGGGAGAAAGCAGGGGACCUUCGGGCCUUGCGCUAUCAGAUGAGCCUAGGUCGGAUUAGCUAGUUGGUGGGGUAAUGGCUCACCAAGGCGACGAUCCGUAACUGGUCUGAGAGGAUGAUCAGUCACACUGGAACUGAGACACGGUCCAG
rnacentral:rRNA from 1 species